rnacentral:rRNA from 1 species
AUGGCAUUCUCGUUCCUGCCAGAACUAGUCAUCUCCAUAGUUGUGGUACAUGUAGUUAUUGUAGGUUUCUACUACAUAAAGUCUAGUAAGAACCCAUUGUUGCCCGUGAGCUGGCCAGUAGUAGGCAUCCUCCCUUCCCUGGUCGUCAACCUACACAGAUUGCAUCACUACAUCUCCUUUGACCUCCUAACACCAUCUGGUCACAGCCUAAAGGUUGCCAUAGCCAGCAUACGGAUGUUCAUAACCUGCGACCCAACAAAUAUCCAAUACAUCUUUAGCUCGAACCACACAAACUAUCCCAAGGGCGAGGAUUAUGCCGAAAUCUUUGACAUGACGAGAGGCUCUCUCUUCAGCGCAGAUGGUGAGUCAUCCCGACGGGAGCGUGCCAACUUCCAGAGUGUGUUGAGCAACCCGUUGUUGGUUGGGUUGAUGACUAAGUGUUGUCACGACAAGGUGGAGAAGAGCCUCCUACCCUUCAUGGCCCACAUGGUGAGAACCAAUACUCAUGUUGACAUGAAUGAUAUGUUGAUGAGGCUUGUGUUCGACCUGUAUGCCACAACCAUCUUCAGCAUGGACCCCACUUGUCUGUCCCUCGACAUGCCGUCGGUACACGUCGCGAACGCGAUGGACACGGUCAUGGAGGUGGGCUUUGUCCGUCACAUUGUGCCGGCAUUUUUUUGGAAGGUGAUGAGGCGCCUGAACAUCGGUCCGGAGAGGAAGGUCGCCGCCGCGCAAGCGGUUCUUCGCUGCUUCAUCAUGGACAUGAUCACGGAGAGGAGGAAGAAGGGCCAUAUUAUUGGUCAAGAAGUACACAUUGAUGUUUUGUCUAACUAUGUCAAUGACCAGAACUACAAUGAUGAUUUACUACAGGCGACACUCAUUACGUAUAUGAUCGCUGGGAGGGACACGAUUGGCACUACCUUGCCAUGGGUUGUCUACAACCUCACCAAGAACCCGCACAUCGUGUCAAGCAUUCGCACCGAACUAGCACCCAUCAUGUCCCGCAAAGCAGCCAUUGCUGGCGCUGUCACGAUGAUGACAUUUGAGCCAGAAGAGGUUAGACCCCUAGUCUACCUGCAAGCCACCUUGUUGGAGACACUCAGGUUGUACCCGCCGAUCCCUAUCGAGCGCAGGUCAGUGGUAUCCACUGAUGUGAUGCCGAGUGGCCAUCCUGUUUGUGCCCAGGACAUCAUCCUCGUCUCUAUCUACUCCGUCGGUAGAAUGGAGUCUGUUUGGGGGUCCGACUGUCUGGAGUAUAGGCCUGAGAGGUGGCUCUCUGAUGAUGGCCGUCAACUGCGAUAUGUACCCUCGAACAAGUUCCCAGCAUUUAACUCAGGGGCAAGGUUGUGCCUUGGCAAGGACAUUGCAAUCAUGCAGAUGAAGAUCAUCAUCGCUGCUAUCGUGUGUAACUUUGAUGUGAAAAUGGUUGAUGGACAAGCCAUCGACACGAAGUUGUCAUGUCUUCUACAAAUGAAGAAUGGGCUUAAGGUGAACCUGAGUAAAGUACAAAUGUAA